UUCUUAUUUUAGUCUAUGUGUGGGCUACGAUACAAGCUAGUCUGAAAAAGGAACAGGCUUGUAGGAGUCAAGCUAAAAAAAAUCCUUGAAAGCUCGAUGUUUGAGAAUCGCCUUCUUACGCUCCUCCUGGAAACUUGAGACACCCUUUGAUUUUCAGAUCUUAGAAUCCAAACCAGGGAUAUGUUGGUGGGUUCAAAACCUUCAAAGCAACAGAAUCAAUAAGUGGACCACAAGCUG
rnacentral:lncRNA from 1 species